rnacentral:misc_RNA from 1 species
GAUGAAGAACGUAGCGAAUUGCGAUAAGUAAUGUGAAUUGCAGAUUUUCAGUGAAUCAUCGAAUCUUUGAACGCACAUUGCGCCCCUUGGUAUUCCGAGGGGCAUGCCUGUUCGAGCGUCAUUAUAACCCCUCAAGCUCAGCUUGGUGUUGGGGCCUGCCGCACGGGCAGCCCUUAAAAUCAGUGGCGGUGCCAUCUGGCUCUAAGCGUAGUAAUUCUUCUCGCUAUAGAGUCCCGGUGGAUGCUUGCCAUUAACCCCCAAUUUUCUAUGGUUGACCUCGGAUCAGGUAGGGAUACCCGCUGAACUUAAGCAUAUCAAUAAGCGGAGGA